rnacentral:lncRNA from 1 species
CAAUACAAAGCAUAUUGAGUAGUCUUCUUCCAAAGUUCUCUCUUUUAAUAUUUUCCUUCACCUUUCUAGCUUCCUCUUCUUAGUUGAAUCUUUCGAUUUUAUUAACGAUCUUGGGCUAGCAGAAGGUUUCCUAAAUAUACCUUUCUUCUGCUAUUCUCUACACUUGAAAAAUAUAUUAAGUUAAUAAAGCUUAAUUAGAUUAAUACAAAUGUAGAUGCAGACAUCUGAAAUUUGAAAAAUAAGAUUGUGAGCGUCAAACACUUAUCAAUAAGAAAAAUAUACUUCGGAGAGAGUAUCGAUUAGUUGUUUAGCUCAGCUUGAAUACCUGUAAGUUCCUGAAAUCAAAUUUUGCUCCAUUGGUAAAUUUUCUAGAAGCGGUUAUUUCGUCUUCUGUAGUUGCUUUGCGUUCUCUGCUUCUUUCUCCUUGCCAUCAUAAUUUUGUGCCCCAGCUCUUCAACGGUUCUUUCAAGCCAUUUCAUAUUUCCAGUUGAGAUCAAGAUAUAUAUUAUGGAUAGUCCGGUUCCAUACCCCAUAAGAGCGGCUUUCCAAAAAUCAUUCAGAAAUUCAGAGUUGCUUUCUUCAUCAAGCGCAGAUCCAGUAUAAGUUUCCUCUGAUGCUGAAUCAUGACCGUCGUUACCACAACCUUUUGAAAGUGGGAAUCCACAUAAUCUAUCAUUACCUUCAUAUGAAUUGUUCUCAAAGGUAUGAAAUUGAUUUCCUUGAGGAAUGCACCCUUCGAGAUGAAUUGUUCUCAAGUCAUAUUGUGAUGCAGACAUGUUUGGUUCUCAUUUCUUAGCUCUAAAGUAGUGGACCAAUAAAUUUCUAGACUAUAUUGAAAUCUCUAAUAGACUCCAUAGCACUUGAUUAACAUGAGUUUAGAUGACCGCAAUGUGAAACGUGAGAAUUCAUAAUACUAAUGUCGAGAGUUAAUUGUUCACAUCGCCAAUCAACUUUUGAUAAUUAUCUCAGAAAGCCACAAUUCUUUGUUUUAUAAUAGAACAGCCGCUCAUUAUGGUUGUUGAAACCGUCAUCAUAUUUGGAGUUUGUUAUUUUAGUUAUGUAAAUAAAACUAUCAUACACUAAAUAAUUAAUGGUGUGCAAAAACCGAACCGAAUCGAUAAAAAUGCUAUUGGGUUAACAAUUUUUUAUUGGUUUUAUAAAAAAAUUAUUGGGUAAAUGGUUCAGCUAUCGAUAAUCCAAUAAGGAUACACUACUGUUUUACCCUUAUUUGUGUUAUAUAUUUAUAUAUUGUAUACACUACUUAUUCACAAUUCAGAGAUUCACAAAGUAUUAACCUAUUCAGGACAACAAAGGCAUAAUACAAAGCACGGGUAUUAUCGUAUUGGAAAGCUUGAAGCAUUUAGUAGCUUCCAACAAUUAGAAUUUAGUUUUUUACGAACUAUAACAUUCUGUUCAAGUUUGAAGAUUUUUGUAAACUAAAACGCAUUGCGUAUGAUUUUGGCAGGAACUAAGAUUUCGUUUUUUUUAUGUUAGUUGUUACUAUUUCUAUGUUAUGAGUAUUUUCUUAUUGGUUAAAUCGAAAAUCGAACCGUUAAGGACCGAAAAUUGAUAAACCGAAAAUUGAUAAGAAAAUACCUUAUUGGUUUUGCGUAUUUAAAAGGGAAAAGACUCAAAUAUGUCAUUGAAAAUAGGGAAAAGACUCAAAUAUGCCACUGAACUAUCAGAAAUGACUCAUUUAUGUCAUCCGUUAAAAGUUGGGCUCAUUCAUGCCAUUGCCGUUACAAAACCGGCCCAUCGAUGCCAUUACUUUUUAACAGAUGAUUUUUAAAAACAUUCUUGCCACGUGGCAGCUUAUUAGAGGGCCACGUCAUUUUUUAUUUUUUAUUUUUUAUUUUUAAAAAAAAAUAAAAAAUAAUAUUUUUUUUGAUCCACUAAAAAGAAUUCACGCAACUUUUUGAUCCAUUGAAAAUUAGUUUGAUCUAUGCUUUUAAAAUUUGAUUAAUUUUUCAUGAAUAUAUUCUUAAAACAUUCUCGUUCGAUUCGUAAACAUCAUUUAAUAAAUAUAUUAUAAUAAAAUAGUUAUUUUAAUUGACGGACGAGUAACUAAAAGGGAACGGAGAGAGUAUACACUCCACGCUUUUUAUCACUUUUUCUUUUUUAAAGAUUCACGUUAACUAAAACUUUUAUCAUUUUUCAAUUGAAACUGAAGGGAUAUAUAAAAAUCAAAUAUUAUUAUUAUAUUAUUAAUAGUUAGCUUCUCAUUUUGCCAACUCUACAUAUACUAUAUAUGUUGACAUGUUGUCGCCUUCCUAUUUUUGCAAUAAUAAAUGAUGAUGUAUAAAGUGCUACGUACAAAUGUUGAAUGCCGAUUAGGGGCGGCUUAACCCUUUAGGAGAAAAGGCGGCCGCCUAAGACCCCAAAAUUUGAGGGGCUAUUUUUGUUUAAUAAUAAUAAAUUACAAAUUUUAAGAAAUAUAUUAAAUACUAUUUAUAGAAAAAAGAACAAUUUUAUAUAAAAAAAUAAAAUGCAAGGCCUCCGUUUGAUUUUUGCCUUAGGCCAUAAAUUUGCUUGAGCCGAUGCUGAUGAUGUCAUUCUAUGCUUAAUAAAAAAAUAAAAAAAUGAAAAGUUACUUACAUUCGACCGACAAAAUAUUUCAUGUAUGCUAAGACAUACUAUAUGCUUAAUUAGAAUAGCGUUUGGUUAUAAAUUUUAAUAGUAGAUUUAAAAAAAAAAAAAUCUUUAAAUAUUUGUUUGAUCAUGAAAAAUUAAUCAAAUUUUAAAAGCAUAGAUAAAAUUAAUUUUAAUGGAUCAAAAAAUUGGGUGGAUUCUUUUUAAUGGAUCAAAAAAAAAUUAAAAAGAAAAUUAAUUUUUUUAAAAAAAAAAAAUGACGUGACCCUCUAAUAAGCUGCCACGUGGCAAGGCUGUUUUUAAAAACCGGCUGUUAAAAAGUAAUGGCAUGGAUGAGCCAGUUUUGUAACGGCGAUAGCAUAAAUGAGCCUAAUUUUUAACGGAUGGCAUAAAUGAGUCAUUUCUGAUAGUUCAUGGCAUAGUUGAGCCUUUUCCCUUGAAAAUAACUCAUUUAUGUCAUCAGUUAAAAGUUUGUCUCAUUCAUGCCAUCGCUGUUACAAAACUGAUUGGAAGGUGUGGAUAACAGUAAUAGCAAGCACUGGACUGUGGUAGCGACGAUGGAAUAGAGUUCAGUAUAACUGAUUGGGAUGGACUCGUAAAUUAUUUUUCUUUCUCAGAUCACAAGCCGUAGCAAUAUUCCUUAUGCCAGGUCAAUAAGGAAGGGGUCUGUAACUGAUCUCUUCGUCUCAAAUGCGAUAACCGAUAUGUAUGCAAACUGUGGUUGUCUAUGUUAAGUAUCGCACAUCGUAAAAGGGAUGGGUAAUUGGUCUCCUUAUAUGGUCUUGGGCAAUCCUCCCCCAUGAGCUAGCUUUUGAGGUUGAGUUAGGCUCGAAAUCCAUUCUUUAUUGUCUAAAUCUGGCACAAAAUGUGUUUGACAUGUCUCUUAGAGAUGAGGUAUCGUAUAUAAUAUACUCAUUGUUGGUUAUUCGCAGACAAGUCAUUGCUCAAAGUCUCUUCAACUGUUCUCUGAAAUGGUGCUGAAUGGGAUGAAGCACGAUACCGUUUCCUUUGUUGGAGUUCUCUCGGCUUGUGCGACUAUUUCGGCGAUUAAACAAGGAAAGGAAAUCCAUGCAUUUGCGGUGAGAAGAUUGUUUCAUGAACAUCUCUUUGUCUCAAAUUCUCUCUUGGAUUUGAAUACAAAAUGUGAACGGAUUGAUCUUUCUCGAAAGGUUUUUGAUAGUAUUGAGAACAGGGAUGUAGCAUCGUGGAAUACGAUGAUUUUCGGGUAUGGGAUGCUCGGUGAUUUACAUACUGUGAUUGAUAUGUUUGAAGCCAUGCGAGAGGAUGGUGUUGAACAUGAUUCGGUCUCAUAUAUUGCUGUGCUAUCAGCAUGUAGUCAUGGGGGAUUAGUUGAUAAGGGAAAGAAAUACUUUAAUGACAUGCUCGCUCGUAACAUUGAACCAUCACAGAUGCACUACGCUUGCAUGGUUGAUCUUCGUGGUCGUUCUGGGCUUAUGGAUGAGGCCACUAAUCUUAUUACUGGUCUACCAUUUAAACCAGAUUCCAAUGUUUGGGCUGCACUACUUGGAGCAUGCCGACUCCAUGGAAAUGUAGACUUGGGUUCUUGGGCAGCCGUAUCAUCCUGGGUACUAUGCUCUUCUCUCAAAUAUGUACGCUGAAGCAGGCCGGUGAGGUGAAGCUGAUAGGAUCAGAGAGUUGAUGAAGAAAAACCCUGGAUGUAGUUGGGUUCAAACUCAAGACAAGGUGCAUGCUUUUAUUGUUGGACAAAGACUCCAAGGAUUGACUUCAUGUUUGUCGCUUGAGAACACUGGUUGAAGUGUGUUGUUUCAUUGCCUUUUCUUUUGGUUGGGAAAGACUUUGGAUUAGUUAUCCCACCAUAUAUAUAGGAUAACUUAUUCCAUCACUGUGGUGUAAAUGGUGGGAUAAAUAAUCCCAGUACCAACUAAUACCUCACACGAAACGACCCCUUAGAGUAUGAUUACGCCCGAUGGCCCGGACUUUUUGUGUGAGAUGUGGUACACCUGAUUGACCUCCAAUUUAGGAGGUCUGUAAUGAACCAAUGUCCCACAUUAGAAAAAAAGAGAAAUGCUAAGGGGGUUAUAAGUCAAAUGGGUUCUCUCACUUAUUAGACUACUCUUUUGGGUUGAGCUCUCCCGUUUGGUUUAUAACAUUAGUGCUUUCUGGUGGCCUGGACCCAAGAGGGGUGCCAACCGUGACACCGUGACUCGUAGGGGUGGCCCAAGAGGGGUGCCAACCGUGACCAACGAGGAUCGAUCCACGCGUGGAGCCAUGACUCGGAGUGGUGCCCUGGACCUAAGAGGGGUGCCGUGACCAAAGGGGUCGUUGGUUCUCAAGCGGAGGCGAUUGUUAUGAAUCAAUUGUCCCACAUUGGAAAAAUAGAGAAAUGCUUAAGGGGAUUAUAAGCCAAAUGGAUUCUCCCACCUAUUAGACUAGUCUUUUGGGUUGGUUCUCCCGUUUGGUUUAUAACAAGGUCCAACCAAAUAUAAUUCAACAUGAAGCGAUGUGGAACAAUUUAUGAUUCCUUGUGAAGACUCAUGCGUUGCAUUAUUGGCAACGUAUGGGUCGGGGAAGCUGGCACUGGCCCUCAAACAUGAUGGCCAAGUGCAAGCUUUAUCCAGGACAAUAACUGAAAGGAAAAGACCAAGAGCGCUGGUGAUCGAUCUGAUUUGCUUAUGAGUUCAACUAAGCUCUAAACUGAGAUGCAGUAUCCAUGGCUGGUGAAUAGACUAUCUGUCCUUGAGCUGAUUGCAAGAGCUUAUACUUGACAUGCUUCUGGCCUGCACCAUGAAAAUCGCAAGCUGUUGGUUUUUUUAAAACAAGAUGGGGCAGCGAAAAGAGGUUAAAAUGGCUCUCAAUUAUUUUUCUUAAGCAUAAGAGAGCUUACAAAGAAAAUCCACAAAGUACAUACAUAACCAAAAGAAAAAGAAAAAAGAAGACAUUGUCUUAGAACUUAUAGAGCACAGAAGGCAAGCGCGGUGUAAUAAACACUUCUAUAGGAUUGACUUUGCGCAUGGUCAUGCCUAGCCCUUCUUUCAUAUCCAAAGGCUCAUCCGACGGUGUACUAAAAUCAAAACCUUGGAGUAAAUGAGCUAUUGCAAGGUGUGUCACUUGAGUUGCAUAGGUGAUCCCUGGACAAGAUCGUCUUCCAGAGCCAAACGGGAUGAAUUCAUAUUGUUGACCGCGAACAUCAACCCCUGCUUGACUAGUCAAGAAUCUCUCUGGAUCAAAUGUAUCAGGAUUCGACCAAAUCUUAGGAUCUCGAUGUAGUUUCAUAGUAUUGACCCACAAUCUUGUACCUUUAGGAAUGUGGUAUCCUUGUACGACACAGUCCUCUACUGAUUCGUGUGGUACUAACAACGGUGCUGGUGGAUAUAAUCGCAGUGUUUCUUUAACGACAGCUUGGAAGUAUACCAAAUCCUUGAUAUCGCUCUCUUCUACCCAUCUGUUUCUGCCAACGCUCGUGUCUAGCUCCUCUUGGACUUUCUUCAGGGCAUCUCUGUGGUUUAACAAUGUCGCCAUUACCCAAUUUAAGUGAAUCGCAGUCGUGUCUGAAGCAUCCAACACCAUACUCUGUGUUAAGAAGAACCAUUUAAGAGAAACAAGAUUUGAAAAACAAACAAAAGAACAACCUUUUAACCAACAUUGUGUUGCCAUCAUGCUAAAUGUCAAAAACAACUUUUCUACCUCUGACGUAGAGGUAACGUCUGCAUACACUCUACCCUCCCCAUACACUAGUAUGUUACUAUUGUUGCCAUCAUGCUAAAUGGUUGCACAAUUCAAUUCAAAACCCAAAGUCUCUCCAUAUCAAACUUGAUAUAAAGAGUUAAGUGUCGCUGUACCUAUAUAUGAUAAGCAAUUCUGGAGGAGCACGUGACCAACACUCGAUGCCUUAACUGUGCAUCGAGCAAACCAACUGAAUGUCUACCCAUGAUCUAUGUUGCUUGAACUCUCCAAAACAUUACUGUACUAGUAUUGAACCCUUCAAAAGGUAGUGGAUGAGCUCUGCGUACUACCUCCCCAGACACUACUUGUGGAUUUCGCUAAUCCUCCAAAAAAUGCACAACUUUUGAAGGAUUGGAUACACACCCGGCAACAUUUUGAAGAGUCCGAACAACAUAGAUCAUGAUCAUAAACACAUAUGCACAAGCAUCUCAUAAACAUUCAUAACCUUCACCUAUGUUGCUCAGACUCUUCAAACAUGUCAUCGGGGGUUGUGUCGGAUCCUUCAAAAGUAGUGCAUUUUUUAAUGAUACUACCCUGGUAAGACAACGUUUUUGGAGAGUCCGGACAAGAAAAACAAUAUAAAUAUAGCAGCAAAAGACAUUAUUACUCACCAGAGCAGUAGCUUUAAUGGUGGUUUCUCUGCUAUAACCAUCAAUAAAAUCUUCAAUUUUCAUCAUAGAAAGCAUAACAUCAAUAAAAUCCUCUUCAUUUCCAUCAACAAAAUCAACCCUUUCUCUCUUCUUCACAUGUUCAUCCAACCAACUUUGUAAAACACAAUCAAUAUCUUUAAAUGUCCUUUUCAUAAACUUAACAUGUCCUUGAAAAUCAAUCCACUUAAACAAAGGUAUUGGAAAUGCAUCCCAUAACACAAACUCCAUUGAUAUAUACAUAAAAUCCUUCAAAGCUUUCUUAAAUCUCUCAGCUUCUUCUUCUUCUUCUUCAUUUCCACCUUUUUCAACCCUUCCAUAGCUUUUUCCAGCUAUCAUUUUCACUAUCAAGCUCAGUGUUAACUUCUCUAUCCAAUUAGUAAUAUUCACUUUCACCCGAAAAUCACCUCUGGUCAUUGGAAAAUCAAGAUUAGCUCCAGAAACUGCGCAGUCUGAUGCACUAAAACACUCGCUAUGUGUGGGGUCCAUAGAAGGGUCAGAUGACAAGGCACUAUUGUACAAAACUUUACUUUGCAUUUCUACCAUAGGCUGUUUCCAUGACUUGAUAACAUUAUCUCCGGUAGCACUGUGUGUGGGGUCCAGGAAAGGGCCAGACAAGAAGACUUUAUUGUACGAAUCCUUACCUUGCAUUUCUGUUUGAGGUUGUUUCUUCGGCUUGAUAACAUCAUCUCCAUCCACCGGAAAACUAACAUCAUCUCUGGUCACUGGAAAAUGAUCACUGGUGAUCAGAAAAUCAAGAUUUUCUUCGGAGACAGGUGAUUGAUCUCCAGUGACCGGAAAACUAACAUCAUCUCCGGUCACCGGAAAAUGAUCACUGUAGAUCGGAAAAUCAAGAUUUUCUCCGGAGACCGGUGAUUGAUCUCUAGUGAACGGAAAAUUAGCAUCAUCUCCAUUCACCUUUAAACUUACAUCAUCUCCACCCACCGGAAAAUCAUCUCCGGUGACCGGAGAAUGAUCACCGGUUACCGGAAAAUCAAGAUUUUCUCUGAUGAUCGGAAACAAAAUAUAAAGCUCUUUAAUACUAGUUUUCACUUCAGAAACCCUCACAUCUCUCAGUUUCUCCAACCUACUACUAGACAAAACUUCCUUAAUAACAACUUUCCUAAUCUUUCUCCAGUAAUCACCAUAACUAGCAAGAAAAAGCAUUGCAUUAUUAUACCCAAUAUACUCUCCAGCUAAACUCUCUGGCCGGGCAGCAAACACUUUAUCAUUGAUAUUCAAACAAUCCUUCACAGCAUCAUAACUACUUACCACUAAUAUACGCGGUAUACCUAGCCGGAAAGUGAAAAUGGGGCCAUAUUUAUCUGCCAAAGAAGAUAGUUUUCGAUGCAAUGGAAUGCUGUCGGUGCCGGAGAAUUGGAGAAGAUGACCGAUGACCGGUAAGCCACCGGAGAUUUCUGGCGGGAAAUUAUGUGAAAGUUUAUGUGAUCUUUGUGUUAGUUUAUAUAUGACAAUGGAGGUAAAGGUAAUGGUUAUGAGUAGUAAAAUUGCAUUAAAAUGAGAAAAUAUAUGAUCUUCCAUUUUUGUUAUAAAGAAAUAUCUUAAGUUUUUUGAUGUGUUUAUGUAGUGCUAGAAAAGGAUUUACUAGUAUUAGUUUUGGUAUAUGUCAUUUUCAUUUUGAAAGUUUUUUUAUUUCAAUUUCUUAAAAUGAUGAUGGCGAUGUUUGAAUUGGUAACUUAAUUAAUUACUUCAUGGAGGAUUUAAACUUGAAAACUCAACUUAAAUUUUGAACUCAUAUAUACACUGAAACCAAUCUCGUAUUUAGGAGAUUCAAAAUCUAUAUACAUAUAUAAAAAUUAUCUUAUAUAUAUAACAGAAUUUUUUAUCUAGAUCCAACUUUUAUUUAUUUAUUUAUGGAUUAAUUACUUAUAAUCAUACCUUAAGUUUCUAUUAUUACUUAAAAUCUCAUUCAAUCAAACUAAUUACAAAAAUCCAUUUUUACUCAAAAUAGUUGCCUCUUUUCUGAUACAUCACCCACAACCCCUUAUUGUGCCAUAAAUCAAGCUCCAAAAUUAGGAAAUAUAUCCCACAAUUUUCUCAACUUACCCAUUUUAAAUUUCCAUCGUGUUCUCAUCUUCAUCUUCUACUUCAAUAUUCAAGUUACAAUUUUCAUUAAUUUUCUUUUGAAUUUUUACCAUAUUCUCAUCUACAAAAUUAAACAUAGAAACUCCAUCUUUUUACCAUUAACUUUCUUUUUUAGGAAAACAAAACUAAUGAUGAUUUAGGAAAAUCAUGUGUUGUCAUUACUGGUGAAAUGGUAGCACCAAUACUCCAUGAAUAACGUCAAUAAGUCCAUCAGUGCAACGCGCAAGAUAGCACGUUAUGUAUCGUUAUGGCAUCAAAGAUAUGAAACUACGGGACAUUCUAGGAGCCCAUGGUUUUAGCAUCAAAGAUACAUUACGUAGUAAUAAGAAACUAUGGGACAUGCUAGGAGCCCAUCGUUUUGGCAUCAAAGAUAACGUAAUGUAUUGUUUUGUUAGAAAAAGUUUUUUUAUCAAAGGUAUGAAUUAUACGUGUUCUUGUUAACGUAAUGUAUCAUAUUAUGAAUCUGAUACAUAAGUAUAAUGCACUGAGACACUGCAUGCUUUCCAAUAUAUACUGAAAUUUACAUGUAAUUUAGGUUCUUUUUUAACAUCUGAUACAUUCACUUUACUGAGUUUAAUACAUAGUCUAAGGUUUCUAAUACAUAAGACAUUGCAGUUUUUGGUGCCCUUUUUGGUUGAUUUAAGACAUUGCAGUUUUUCUGAUACAUAAGACAUUGCAGUUUUUUUCUGAUACAUAAGACAUUGCAGUAUUUUCUGAUACAUAGUCUAAGGUUUCUGACCUUUUUUGUUGAUUUAAUUUUGUAUUUUUGUGCAGCAUUUUGAUUUUAGAGCAUGUGGGAGAAUUAUGAUUGGAGAAUGUUAAUUAUGGCGAUUCAAAUUUUAAUUAUGAAGUUGUUACUAAUUUUUAGGGAUUCAAGAGAUAUCUCUCAAUCAAAAUCCCAUUAAUUGCUCUAUCAUUUAAUUUCAUACCAUUAUUUUCCUUUUUUAUAGUAAAUUAGUUUGGUAGUUAUGUAUAUCUGUUGGUUAUGUAUCUGGACCAAACUUAUAUAUCAUAUCCGAGAUAUUAAGGAAUUAAUGUAAAAGUUGGGAGAGAGGGUAAUUAGGUAGCAAAGUG